UUAUGAUUAGAAUAGCACUGCUGAGGUAAAUGUAUGAUUAGAAUAGCACUGCUGAGGUAAAUGUAUGAUUAGAAUAGCACUGCUGAGGUAAAUGUAUGAUUAGAAUAGCACUGCUGAGGUAAAUGUAUGAUUAGAAUAGCACUGCUGAGGUAAAUGUAUGAUUAGAAUAGCACUGCUGAGGUAAAUGUAUGAUUAGAAUAGCACUGCUGAGGUAAAUGUAUGAUUGGAAUAGCACUGCUG